rnacentral:rRNA from 1 species
UGCAGUCGAACGGGGUCGGAACUUCGGUUCCGGCUUACGUGGCGCACGGGUGAGUAACACGUGGGAAUCUGCCCAUCUAUGGGGAAUAACUGCGGGAAACUGCAGCUAAUACCGCAUACGCCCUUCGGGGGAAAGGCUUCGGCCGUAGAUGGAUGAGCCCGCGUCCGAUUAGCUGGUUGGUGGGGUAACGGCCUACCAAGGCGACGAUCGGUAGCUGGUCUGAGAGGAUGAUCAGCCACACUGGGACUGAGACACGGCCCAGACUCCUACGGGAGGCAGCAGUGGGGAAUAUUGGACAAUGGGCGAAAGCCUGAUCCAGCAAUGCCGCGUGAGUGAUGAAGGUCUUCGGAUUGUAAAGCUCUUUCGACGGGGAAGAUAAUGACGGUACCCGUAGAAGAAGCCCCGGCUAACUUCGUGCCAGCAGCCGCGGUAAUACGAAGGGGGCUAGCGUUGUUCGGAUUUACUGGGCGUAAAGCGUGCGUAGGCGGCUUAUCAAGUCAGAAGUGAAAGCCCGGGGCUCAACUCCGGAACUGCUUUUGAGACUGGUAGGCUGGAGUUCGGGAGAGGGUAGUGGAAUUCCCAGUGUAGAGGUGAAAUUCGUAGAUAUUGGGAAGAACACCGGUGGCGAAGGCGGCUGCCUGGCCCGAAACUGACGCUGAGGCACGAAAGCGUGGGGAGCAAACA